AUCCUUCGGUUCAUAAACAUGAUGAUUGGGUGUUCAUGCCUUAUGCAUGAGAUGUGCCUCCCUCAAACCUUGUUAGGACAUGGGCACAUUACCACCCAUCUGAUG